rnacentral:tRNA from 1 species
AGGCGAUCAACAUAGGUGUUUCGGAAGCCUUGAAAGUUUCUGAGGGGUGUGCAAUCCAUCCGUCGUUUA